ACAAGGUAGAUAGGUUGGGAGUGGAAGUGCCGUAAGGCAUGUAGCGGACCAAUACUAAUAAAUCGAGGGCUUAACUUUUGCUG
rnacentral:rRNA from 1 species